GACGAACGCUGGCGGCGCGCCUAACACAUGCAAGUCGAACGGAGUCACGAGGAGCUUGCUUUUCUUGACUUAGUGGCGAACGGGUGAGUAACGCGUGAGUAACCUGCCCUGGAGUGGGGGACAACAGUUGGAAACGACUGCUAAUACCGCAUAAGCCCACGGAUCCGCAUGGAUCUGCGGGAAAAGGAUUUAUUCACUUCAGGAUGGACUCGCGUCCAAUUAGCUAGUUGGUGAGGUAACGGCCCACCAAGGCGACGAUUGGUAGCCGGACUGAGAGGUUGAACGGCCACAUUGGGACUGAGACAUGGCCCAGACUCCUACGGGAGGCAGCAGUGGGGGAUAUUGCACAAUGGGGGAAACCCUGAUGCAGCGACGCCGCGUGGAGGAAGAAGGUUUUCGGAUUGUAAACUCCUGUCGUUAGGGACGAUAAUGACGGUACCUAACAAGAAAGCACCGGCUAACUACGUG
rnacentral:rRNA from 1 species